rnacentral:sRNA from 1 species
CACAAACAAGGCAGAUCAUAAUCUUUAAUUGUUUUAGAUUUUGAUUUAUGUAGAGAAAAUGAUGCAAAGUUUUGAGAUGACCAAGAUGAAGUGCAGUAUGAUGAUAGCUUUAAAGAGCUUGAAUCAUAUGCAGUUCUAAAGAAUUGUAUCCAUGAUUUACCAGAGAUUCUAAGUCCUCAACGCCCAGUUACGUAGCAUGGUCUAUUCCAAUUCUUAUUUAAAGGGAUGAUGCAAAACCCAGAAUUUCUUUGUAGUUGGCUUCUACUGAGACUAUGCAGGUGUGUACUCGGAAAAGUUUGUGAAGGGCCAAUGGGAAAAGGUGAUUGCAUUUCAGAUUGGCAGAAAUACAAGGGUUUUCGUUUGCCGGACAAUGAUAGGCGAAUCACCAUAUGAAGUAGCAAUUCUGCUGCACACUGAAUGCAGGAUGACUAACCUAGAGUCUCAACUAAUUGAAAACACUUGCAGAGGAAGACAUAGAAUAGAGAACCCCUCUACAUAGUGAAGAUGGAGAUGAGCUCGAGAGUAAUGAAGUAGGAAAAUCUACAUCCCAGGAAGUUAGUCUUUUCAAACAGUAGAUAUGUAUACAUGUAAAUAGCACAAGACUUACUAUAACAUGAAAAGCAUCAUAUAAAAUAUGUUAUAAAUGUAAACAACACUGUAAAUAGUAUCAGCUUUUGUAAUUAACACCGUAAAAAAUUUCAUCAAUUUGUGUAAACAUAUUAUAUAUAUAAAUAAUAAUACC